rnacentral:rRNA from 1 species
GUCUGUGGCCAUACCACCCUGAACGCACCCCAUCUCCUCUGAUCUCCGAAGCUAAGCAGGGUCGGGCCCAGUUAGUACUUGGAAGGGAGACAUUUCACCAGAAUUAAUUUCUUGUUCUUGACA